rnacentral:rRNA from 1 species
ACGCGUUGGGAGCUCUCCCAUAUGGUCGACCUGCAGGCGGCCGCGAAUUCACUAGUGAUUCGUAUUACCGCGGCUGCUCACACAUAGUUAACCGGUGCUUAUUCUGUCGGUAACGUCAAAAUUGCAGAGUAUUAAUCUACAACCCUUCCUCCCAACUUAAAGUGCUUUACAAUCCGAAGACCUUCUUCACACACGCGGCAUGGCUGGAUCAGGCUUUCGCCCAUUGUCCAAUAUUCCCCACUGCUGCCUCCCGUAGGAGUCUGGACCGUGUCUCAGUUCCAGUGUGACUGAUCAUCCUCUCAGACCAGUUACGGAUCGUCGCCUUGGUGAGCCAUUACCUCACCAACAAGCUAAUCCGACCUAGGCUCAUCUGAUAGCGCAAGGCCCGAAGGUCCCCUGCUUUCUCCCGUAGGACGUAUGCGGUAUUAGCGUUCCUUUCGAAACGUUGUCCCCCACUACCAGGCAGAUUCCUAGGCAUUACUCACCCGUCCGCCGCUGAAUCCAGGAGCAAGCUCCUGUCAUCCGCUCGACUUGCAUGUGUUAGGCCUGCCGCCAGCGUUCAAUCUGAGCCAUGAUCAAACUCUAAUCGAAUUCCCGCGGCCGCCAUGGCGGCCGGAAGCAUGCGAC